rnacentral:rRNA from 1 species
CUGCCAACCAGCGAUGGUGAGCGAAUCCCAAAAAGUGCGUCGUAGUCCGGAUUGGAGUCUGCAACUCGACUCCAUGAAGUCGGAAUCGCUAGUAAUCGUGGAUCAGAAUGCCACGGUGAAUACGUUCCCGGGCCUUGUACACACCGCCCGUCACACCAUGGGAGUGGGCUGCAAAAGAAGUGGGUAGUUUAACCUUUCGAGGAGGACGCUCACCACUUUGUGGUUCAUGACUGGGGUGAAGUCGUAACAAGGUAGCGCUAGGGGAACCUGGCGCUGGAUCACCUCCUUA